rnacentral:lncRNA from 1 species
CAUGAUUCAGGCUUGUGAAGUCAUUAUUCUGGGUGGUUUUAUGUCUACCUCUGCCAGUCCCAUGGGUCUCUCAACCAGUUUUUACAAUAAUUUCAUUACCUAAGAUUCUUUUACCAAGUGUAAUAUGUGAAUUCAAACCCCUGUCCCCACAUAGUAUCAGUUUAGAUUUCUCCCAGAUGAUUAAUUUUCAACCAUGACCUAGGACAGGCAGCCUAUUUUUCUUGCCAAAUUCCCAGUCCAGUGGAAAGAACUUUUCUAGUCCCUUCCAGGUUCUCGGUUUUACUCUGAGAGUGCACCUUCAGCUUCCCAUGCCCCUAGGUCAGCAAACUUAACUUUUGUCUUCUUUCCCAGCUCUCUGUUCUCAAAUUAAUACCUCAAGUUAAAAGCUCUGGCUUCAGAUUACCCCUCUUUAUUUCUGGCACCAGAUGUGAGAAAAAGAUGAUUCCCUAGAGAGGGCUGUGAGCAAGAACAGAGCUGUGAACAGGAAUAUUUGGGAACAGAUAUUGAAAUAAGAAGAGAGAGGAGCCUCUGAAAGAAAAAGAUCAAAGAAUAGAUUGUGACUCUGGUCAUCAUCUUAAUGAAAUGAAUGUUGGGACUGGGGAAAAUGCAGAUAUAAGAAUGGAAAGACGACUAGAAAAAAGGAGCAAAAGAGAACAAGAACCCCAAGAAGUUCUUACAACGAUAAGCAACAUGGGUGCUUAAGGGAAGUGAGAAGAGUGUCUUAAACAAAGGUGAAUAUU